GGACGAACGCUGGCGGCGUGCUUAACACAUGCAAGUCGAGCGGUAAGGCCCUUUCGGGGGUACACGAGCGGCGAACGGGUGAGUAACACGUGGGUGACCUGCCCUCAGCUCUGGGAUAAGCCUGGGAAACCGGGUCUAAUACCGGAUAUGACUCCAUGACGCAUGUUGUGGGGUGGAAAGCCUUGUGCGGCUGAGGAUGGGCCCGCGGCCUAUCAGCUUGUUGGUGGGGUGAUGGCCUACCAAGGCGACGACGGGUAGCCGGCCUGAGAGGGCGACCGGCCACACUGGGACUGAGACACGGCCCAGACUCCUACGGGAGGCAGCAGUGGGGAAUCUUGCGCAAUGGGCGAAAGCCUGACGCAGCGACGCCGCGUGA
rnacentral:rRNA from 1 species